rnacentral:rRNA from 1 species
GACGAACGCUGGCGGCGUGCUUAACACAUGCAAGUGGAGCGACGAACCAGGCUUCGGCCUGGGGCAAAGCCGCGAACGGGUGAGUAACACGUCGGUAACCUGCCCCGAAGAUCGGGACAACCCGGGGAAACCCGGGCUAAUACCGAAUGUGCUCCCGCCACAUCAGUGGCAGGUGCAAAGGAAGCUUCGGCCUCCGCUUCGGGAGGGGCCCGCGGCCCAUUAGCUUGUUGGUGAGGUAACGGCUCACCAAGGCUCCGAUGGGUAGCUGGUCUGAGAGGACGAUCAGCCACACUGGGACUGAGACACGGCCCAGACUCCUACGGGAGGCAGCAGUGGGGAAUCUUGCGCAAUGCGCGAAAGCGUGACGCAGCAACGCCGCGUGGGGAAGAAGGCC